GUACAUUCAGGCUUUGCUUGGUGUUGGGCAACGCGGUCCGCCGCGUGCCUCAAAUCGUCCGGCUGGGUCUUCUGUCCCCUAAGCGUUGUGGAAACUAUUCGCUAAAGGGUGUUCGGGAGGCUACGCCGUAAAACAACCCCAUUUCUAA
rnacentral:misc_RNA from 1 species